GAUGAACGCUGGCGGCGUGCUUAACACAUGCAAGUCGAACGUGAAGGGCGCAAGCCCGGAAAGUGGCGGACGGGUGAGUAACACGUGGGUAACCUGCCUCGCAGUGGGGGAUAACCAGGGGAAACCGUGGCUAAUACCGCAUAGGCCUAGGGUGAUGGGAAUGCGCUAGGUAAAGCUUUAGUGCUGCGAGAGGGGCCUGCGUCCGAUUAGGUAGUUGGUGAGGUAAUGGCUCACCAAGCCGAUGAUCGGUAGCUGGUCUGAGAGGACGAUCAGCCAC
rnacentral:rRNA from 1 species